rnacentral:rRNA from 1 species
GACGUAGGUGGCGAACGUUAUCCGGAAUUAUUGGGCGUAAAGGGUGCGUAGGCGGCAUGAUAAGUUAUUGGCGGCAAAUCGAGGCUCAACCUCGUGGAAACUGAUAAUACUGUCUUGCUUGAGUGCAGAAGAGGUUAACGGAACUCCAUGUGGAGCGGUGAAAUGCGUAGAGAUCGGAAAGAACACCAACGGCGAAAGCACUCUGCUGGGCCGACACUGACACUGAGAGACGAAAGCUAGGGGAGCGAAUGGG